UGCGCAGGCGGAUGAAUGUGUCAGGUGUGAAAUCUCGGGGCUCAACCUCGAAACUGCGCCUGAAACUGUUCAUCUAGAGUAUUGGAGAGGUAAGCGGAAUUUCCGGUGUAGCGGUGAAAUGCGUAGAUAUAGGAAGGAACACCAGUGGCGAAGGCGGCUACCUGGACCAACACUGACACUGAGGUGCGAAAGCGUGGGGAGCAAACA
rnacentral:rRNA from 1 species